UGAUGUUUCAUUACGUUUGUUUUUCCAUUUUUGGGCGAAGGUUUUGGCCGAUAUGUACAUCUAAUAACAUUUAAGAAAAACAACACCUUCGCCCAAAAAUGGAAAAACAAACGUAAUGAAACAUCAC
rnacentral:pre_miRNA from 1 species